rnacentral:rRNA from 1 species
GGUAUAGACCCGAAACCCGGUGAUCUAGCCAUGGGCAGGUUGAAGGUUGGGUAACACUAACUGGAGGACCGAACCGACUAAUGUUGAAAAAUUAGCGGAUGACUUGUGGCUGGGGGUGAAAGGCCAAUCAAACCGGGAGAUAGCUGGUUCUCCCCGAAAGCUAUUUAGGUAGCGCCUCGUGAAUUCAUCUCCGGGGGUAGAGCACUGUUUCGGCAAGGGGGUCAUCCCGACUUACCAACCCGAUGCAAACUGCGAAUACCGGAGAAUGUUAUCACGGGAGACACACGGCGGGUGCUAACGUCCGUCGUGAAGAGGGAAACAACCCAGACCGCCAGCUAAGGUCCCAAAGUCAUGGUUAAGUGGGAAACGAUGUGGGAAGGCCCAGACAGCCAGGAUGUUGGCUUAGAAGCAGCCAUCAUUUAAAGAAAGCGUAAUAGCUCACUGGUCGAGUCGGCCUGCGCGGAAGAUGUAACGGGGCUAAACCAUGCAC